AACGAACGCUGGCGGCAUGCCUAACACAUGCAAGUCGAACGAGACCUUCGGGUCUGGUGGCGCACGGGUGCGUAACGCGUGGGAACCUGCCUUUCGUUUGGGAUUAACUCCCCGAAGGGGACGUCAUCUCAGACCACGUUCUUCGCCCCAAUGAUUGCCGGCGUUAGAUGGGCCCAUCGUGGGUUGUGUUUCGCCGUGGGGUGAGCCCUCGUCGGAUUAGCUGGUUGGUAGGGUAAAAGCCGACCAAGGCGACGACCGGUAGCUGGUCUGAGAGGAUGAUCAGCCACACUGGGACUGAGACACGGCCCAGACUCCUACGGGAGGCAGCAGUGGGGAAUAUUGGACAAUGGGCGAAAGCCUGAUCCAGCAAUGCCGCGUGAGUGAUGAAGGCCUUAGGGUUGUAAAGCUCUUUUACCCGGGAUGAUAAUGACAGUACCGGGAGAAUAAGCGCCGGCUAACUCCGUG
rnacentral:rRNA from 1 species